GGGCGGUUAGCUCAGUUGGCUAGAGCGUUUCUUUGACGUAGAAGAGGUCAUAGGUUCGAAUCCUAUACCGCCCACCA
rnacentral:tRNA from 1 species